rnacentral:rRNA from 1 species
UACAGAGGUCUCAAGCGUUGUUCGGAUUCAUUGGGCGUAAAGGGCGCGUAGGCGGCGGGGUAAGUCUGGUGUGAAAUCUCGGAGCUCAACUCCGAAAUUGCACUGGAUACUGCUCUGCUUGAGGGUUGGAGAGGAGAUCGGAAUUCACGGUGUAGCAGUGAAAUGCGUAGAUAUCGUGAGGAAGACCAGUGGCGAAGGCGGAUCUCUGGACAAAUCCUGACGCUGAGGCGCGAAGGUCAGGGGAGCAAACGGG